rnacentral:rRNA from 1 species
CCUACGGGUGGCAGCAGUGAGGAAUAUUGGUCAAUGGUCGCGAGCCUGAACCAGCCAAGUAGCGUGAAGGAUGACUGCCCUGCGGGUUGUAAACUUCUUUUGUCAGGGAAUAAAGUGAGGCACGUGUGCCUUUUUGUGUGUACUUUAUGAAUAAGGAUCGGCUAACUCCGUGCCAGCAGCCGCGGUAAUACGGAGGAUCCGAGCGUUAUCCGGAUUUAUUGGGUUUAAAGGGAGCGUAGAUGGGUGGUUAAGUCAGUUGUGAAAGUUUGCGGCUCAACCGUAAAAGUGCAAUUGAAACUGGCAGUCUGGAGUACAGUUGAGGUAGGCGGAAUGCGUGGUGUAGCGGUGAAAUGCUUAGAUAUCACGAAGAACUCCGAUUGCGAAGGCAGCUUACUAAACUGCCACUGACAUUGAUGCUCGAAAGUGUGGGUAUCAAACAGGAUUAGAUACCCUAGUAGUC